rnacentral:rRNA from 1 species
UGAAGCUGGAAUCGCUAGUAAUCGCGAAUCAGAAUGUCGCGGUGAAUACGUUCCCGGGUCUUGUACACACCGCCCGUCACACCAUGGGAGUCGGAAAUGCCCGAAGUCGGUAGUCUAACCGAAAGGAGGACGCCGCCGAAGGUGGGAUUGAUGACUGGGGUGAAGUCGUAACAAGGUAUC